rnacentral:rRNA from 1 species
CAGUAGCCGCGGUAAUACAGAGGGUGCGAGCGUUAAUCGGAUUUACUGGGCGUAAAGCGUGCGUAGGCGGCUUCUUAAGUCGGAUGUGAAAUCCCUGAGCUUAACUUAGGAAUUGCAUUCGAUACUGGGAAGCUAGAGUAUGGGAGAGGAUGGUAGAACUCCAGGUGUAGCGGUGAAAUGCGUAGAGAUCUGGAGGAAUACCGAUGGCGAAGGCAGCCAUCUGGCCUAAUACUGACGCUGAGGUACGAAAGCAUGGGGAGCAAACAGGAUUAGAUACCCCGGUAGUCCCUGUCUCUUAUAC